rnacentral:misc_RNA from 1 species
GGAUAAGGUACUUGCAGCACAUAGAUAUGGCAUCAAGAGAGUAAUAUUGCCAGAAAGAAACAUGAAGGACUUGGCUGAGGUUCCAGCACCCAUUCUCUCUGGCUUGGAGAUUCUGCUUGUGAAGCGCAUCGAGGAAGUACUUGACCAUGCUUUUGAAGGUGGAUGCCCUCUGAGACCACACUCCAAGCUAUAGCAUCAACCAAUCUGAAGAUGGC